rnacentral:rRNA from 1 species
UACCUGCAGCUCAAGUGGUGGCCGCUAUUAUUGGGUCUAAAACGUCCGUAGCCGGUUUAUUAAAUGCCUAGGUAAAUUGUGUGGCUUAACCAUACGAAUUCUGGGUAGACUGGUAAACUUGAAACCGGGAGAAGCUAGAGGUACUUCUGGGGUAGAGGUGAAAUUCUGUAAUCCUAGGGGGACCACCAGUGGCGAAGGCGUCUAGCUAGAACGGGUUUGACGGUGAGGGACGAAGCCCUGGGGCGCAAACGGGAUUAGAUACCCCGGUAGUCCAGGGUGUAAACGCUGCUUGCUUGAUGUUGGUUGGGCUCCGAGCCCAAUCAGUGUCGGAGAGAAGUUGUUAAGCAAGCUGCCUGGGAAUUACGGUCGCAAGACUGAAACUUAAGGAAUUGGCGGGGGAGCACCGCAACGGGAGGGGCGUGCGGUUU